rnacentral:lncRNA from 10 species
AUCCAACUCAGCAUUGCUCACAAAGCAUGUUUACCUACAUUAGUUCAUUUAAUCCUCCCAUAAAUCUUGUGUGGUUGGGAGGGACAACACUUUCCUUAUUAUAUUGAUCAUAGAACUGAAGCUCAGAGAGUUGACACAAUUCAUCCAAGGUCACACAGCUAGCAAAUUACACAGGGAAAAGGAGGCAGAGGGGUGUAACAUGAAAAACAGUGAUUUAUUCCCUCCUUUUGGCCUUCUUCCCUUCAUGCCUCUUCUCCUUCCCUCCCUAUCUCCCUCCCUUUCCCCCUCCUUCCUUCCUCCUUUCCUUCUUCUCUCCCUCCCUUUGUUCUUUCCUUCCGUGGAUCAAUCCUAUAAUUGAAUCUUGGCCCAGUUUUCUUUAUCUGCAUAAAACUGAGAGUAAUCUUUUCCUUUCUGACCUCACUUUCCUUAUCUGUGAAGUGGGGAUAAGGAUAAGCAGCCUUUCAUUGGAGGCAAUGUAAUUAUAAUAGAUAAUAAGUAACAUGUAUGGGUUACCAUUUGCUUUGCAGCCUUUUUUUUUUUUUUUUAACUUUCAGAACAGUUUUGCAUUUACAGUAAAAACUGUGAAGAUAGUACAGGGAAUUCUCUUAUACCCCACACCCUUCUGGCACUAUUUUUGAGUGUUUCACAUAUAUUUUAUUCACUUAAAGCCCAUAAUAACCCUGUGAAAUAUCAGCCUCAUUUUAUAGACAAAGUCAUUCAACUGAGAGGUAAAGUGAUGUUGCACCAACUGCUAAAUGGCAUUGGAGAGGCCAAGACACAAACAGGCUUGGAAGUCUGACUCCAGGUCUAUGCUCUUAACUGCUGUGCUCUCCUGCUCCCUGGGAGGUGAGAGCAUAGGCCCGGGCCUAGCCAUGCUGGGUGUGUCAUUAGACUUAGGACCCCAGUCUUUAAAAAUAUAGUCUAAUCUCCUCCUACCACACCCAUGGUGUUGUUGACAAAACUGAUGGAAUCACCUUUUGUCAUUCCUACCUACCAUUUAGUUUUCAACAUUUAAAGUUGCCUUUGUAUUUACUUAAAAUUGACUUUUCUCAAAUGGAAAUUUUAGGAACAAUAGAACUCAUCAUAGAUGUUUUUGGCAUCUCCCUAGGGACAUAUAACCCAUAAAUCACCCAGUUUUCUAGUUUUCCUUAAGAAUCUGUAAUGUACAUUGAACCCUGAGUGCAGCAUGCUGAAACGGAGUCUUUUUGGAAUGUAGUGAAGUCAGGGCUAUUGAGACAUGUGUUUACGUAUAUGUACCUUCUCUCUUCCAGUAAAGGAUGACAGAGGGCACAGAAGCCACCAGCAGAUUCUUUGGAAGGAAGUAACAGGAGUGGAACUUCAUUUUCCCAUGGAUUGUAAAGGGUGAGAGAAAAGCCAUAUAAACGCCUAGCCUUCCUAAAAUGCCCUUUAAGCUUGUAGUGAAUGAUAGGCAUUCCUGGCAGCAAAAACUUAUUUUCAAGAGGGUCUUUCAGGUUUGAGAAAUGAGGUAGUGGCUAUGAUAUUUCAGGAAAAGGGAAAGGAGCAUUUUUUGAUGUUUUGGGGAAUAUUUUGAUGUCAAUCAUUUUUAACUGAUAUAAGAAAUUCCAAGGGGAAAGCUGAACUAUUUUCAAAUGACUGUUGUCUUUUGAACUAUGCUUUUUGAACAGCCUGCUACUCAGAAACACAAUGUGUGGGAUAUACUUAUAUUUCCAUUAUACAGAACUUUUAUUGCAAUGGUCAGAUUAAAUAGACACAUCCUACACAGUUUUAUUAUAGUAACUGGAAAGAUUGUUUAACUGGGACUUUGGAAUAGCAACAAAAAUUGUGUAGAGAAAAACUUACCUCACUCUGCAAUAAAAACUAUAUACACUUUGGAGUUGAUUUAGUAUAAGCAUAUAAUCCUGUUUUGAAAAAUAUACAGGGUGGUCCUGCUAUUGAUUUCCAGAUUCUUCUCACCCAAUGAUAGAUGAGAACCUGUUUUACUCUGGUUUAGUCCAAAAUCUUCUGCUGGCUUUUUGUUAAUUCUCAUGACUAGUUGUCUUGUGUUCCAUCUUGUCCCUACUUGCUGUGGUUAAAUUUUGUAUUAUCCUAAAAUGUGUAUGUUGAAGUCCUAAGCCUUGAUGUGAUGGUACUUGGAGGUGGGGUCUUUGGGAAGUAGCUAGGUUUACAUGAGGUCAUGAGGAUGGGUGCCCUGUUUUGGGAUUACUGUCCUCAUGAGAAGAGGAAGAGAACAGAGAUGGUUUUCUCUCCCCUAUGUGAGAAUACAGUGAGAAAGCAGCCAUCUUCAAUCCAGGAAGAGGCCUUUACCAGAAACCAAACUUGCUAGUACCUUGAUCUUGAGCUUCCUGGCGUCCAGAACUGUGAGAAAUAAGUGACUGUUGUUUAAGCCACCCAGGCUGUGGUAUUUUGUUACAGCAGCUUGAGCAUGCUAAGACACAAGUUAAACUGGUCUAUGCCAGGAGUGACAGCUUCUUGAAUCAGGCGUCUUACUUUCAGUGUCUCCUUUUGACAUCCCAAAGUUCAUCUUCAGUAAAGUAUUUAAUAAGGUCUCACGAAAAAUUGUCCCUGCAAAUUUCGAUUUUGCUUUCUUCCAGUAUGACUGCAAACUAACAACUGUACCUGCAGCAGCCUUUGUUCCACACAGUUUCCUUCUCUGCAUUUUGCUCUAGCUGCUCUGAAGGGAGGGGGUGAUGUUGUUUAAUAAGGAGCAAUUACUUCUCCAAUGGACUCGGCAGUAAAACUGGCUUUUACAGCUGGACAGAAAUAUGUAAGCCAUGAAGUUUCCUAUGUAACACCAUUAAGUACUCCGGAAACAGCAUGACUUGGUGGAGUGCCACAAAUUAACCACUUCAUAUCCAAUAACCUAUGGUCUAUAAGCAUUAUUACUUAAACAAUUAGAAAUAUUAGGGGAGAAAGAUAUUUCACCACUUCUGUCCUAAGUAUUGAAUUGAGCCUUUUCCUGAUACCUCGAGAAAAUGUGCUAAAUCAUAGAGCAGAGGGAAGUAUGUGAUAAGUACCUUCAUUCUUAAAGAGAAUGCCAAGGAUCUCCUAUAUAUUUGCUCAAGGCUCCCUUACCACCCAAUGCCCCAUAUCUCAGACUAUUUCAAGUGAGGAAUAAAAUGGGAAGAGGGCUCAUGGAGGUAGAGAGCUUUAACUUGUCUAGUAGAUACAACUAAUUACUUUUUUUCUGGUUGGAGAUGGUAAAGGAAUGCUGUGUCCUAGGCCCAAACCAGGUCCAAGUGUGGGUGGUUCAAGAGAAUCACUCAUCAUUGACAUCGUAGAUGACAAUGUAAAAAGCCUGCAGGAAGGGGAGAGAGCAUCUCAAUUUCAGGCUGUUUACUGAGGAGGCAAAAGUUGUAGGCCCACUCAUGGCACCAGAGCAAAGCAUGGUGAGAGAGAUACUAGGAGAACUUGUGUCACCUGCAUGUACACAAAACAUGCCUCUUUCCACAGAAUUGUAAAGGCAGCAGUUUGGCUAGAAGAGCCAGUGAUGGGAGGGCAAGGGAGAGUCAAAGUAGAGCAUUGCAUCCUCUUAUUGGUUGAUACGGCCAAGAUGUGGAGCUUCCUAGGGCCAAAGUGGGUGCUGCAGAAUGUGACCAACUCUAGCUGUCUUGUUGAAAUCCAAACCAAGAGCACAACUUCUAGAGCAAGGGGACUUCAGUAAAAGAGACUGUAGAGUGACCCUCUGGGGCAGGAGCUGGGAGUGAGGAGUAUGUUGAGGUCAGCAGAAGAGCACCUCAUCUAUGUCAGGGAACAGUAGUGCAGGUACCUAAUGGAUCUCUGAAGCACCCCAGAGCUUUGUGUCAUGACAAGGCCAAUGUUUAAACAUGCACUACACAUUUGCUGUUUUCCAUUUCCUCUCCUUUCAUCCUGAGGAACCCAUUACAGAAUGGGAAGAAUCAAGGAGAAAAGGAAGGAGUGCACCUCAUCUCCUUUCAGUGUAGGCACCUGAGCAUAGGUCAAGCCUGAGUUGGAGGAAGGAGGGAGGGUAAAUUUUAUGUGAAAUCAGAAGAUCAUUUUUUAAUAUCUGGGAGUCAAUUUUAAUGAAACAGGAUAUAACAAAUGUAAGACUGAUGAAGAACCUGAAACCUAGUCUAGAUGAAAACAUUAUUGAAGAAUGCCUCCUGCUAUUAAAAGAAAAAAAUCGCAAAGGCUGAAAUGUCUGAAAAUAAAUGGCUAGAUGUGAUGAACAGCUAACAACAAAUUGAGAACCAAAAUCUAUACCAUAUUUUAUAUAAUAAAUCUAUGUAUAAAUUUAAUGCAUAGAAUAUUCACGGAAAAAAAUUAAAUCAUGAUGUAAAGGAAUAACCUGCAAUAAUUAUAGUGAAUGCAGCAUAAAAGUAAAAAGAGAAAAAAAUUAAAAAGAAGUGGAUAGAUAUGGAGAAGCCAAGUAUAGUCCAAUAAGUAUCAACUGACAUUCCUAAAUAAUAGAAUCUAAAAAAUUGAACCAUUCAAAGACAUAAUGCUGGAAAAAUCUUCUGACAUAAAAGAAGAAUUUCACAGGCAAAGCAAAAAAUUGAGUGCCAGGAACAUUUGAUUCAGAACGAUAAAUAUCUAGACAUAUUCUGGCUAAAAGAAUUAAUGUAAACAAUGACAAAUUUUUUAAAGAAAAUGAGUAGGAAAACAGGUCAUCUACAAUAAAACAAAAAUCAGGCUUAAGUCUUCUUUAUAGCACUAUUCUAUGGCAGAACACAAAGGAGAAAUGUCUACAAAGUUCUGAAGGACAGAAAAUAAAAGCAGACCCAGGAAUCUUGCAUCUAUCUACUUGUUCAAAUAUAAACAGAACUGUCAAUCUCAAGUAUACAGGAAAUCAAGGAAUAUAGCACUCGUUAGCACUUCUUAAAAAUCAACUCUGCAAUAACAUCUUGCCCCAAAAAAAGAUGAACGAAAAGAAAGAGCUCAGGAACAGAAAAUACUUGGUAAAUCUAAAUAUAAAAUUAAUUUAAAUUUGAAUAUAGUAUAAAUUUAGUAAAUUGAGCAAAGAUAGCUAGAGAACAAAAUGAAAAAGAGUUAAACCAUGGCAAAGUAAGUGUGCUAUAUCAUCCUAUAUGGAGAGAGAAGAGAGGGUGACAGGAAAUGGAAAUAUUUUAAUCUGGUGGUAGUGGGAGAGACAGUACUUCCUAAAAUAUUUAUCUAAAGUUCAAACAGAAAUUAUGAAACAAUUAAGAGAUUGGAAAUUUUCUUCUUAAACUUCCUUAAGUCUCUAUUUCAGACAAUAUAGGUGGCUACUUUCUCAUAAUGCAUCUGAAUGUAUAAGACAUACUUACAAAAAAACUAUUAAUAAUUAUAUUGAACAUGGUUAUCAAGUUAUUAAAAAGAAUUGUUUGAUAUCAAAAUAAUUUUGCUUCUUUAUUAAUGCAUUAAAUAACCAAAUCCAAUAGUGGGUUUAAUAAAUAUUAUAAUUUUAAAGAAGUGACAAGUGUUAAUGGUAUUUUGAAAUAUCUGAAACACAUGUAACGUGAUACGAAAAUGUCUGUCACAGGUACUAUCAAUGCUACUAUGAUUUGCAGUCUUCCUUCAUAGUUGAAUGAAAUACUAAAUUUCAAUUAGAGCUUAGCAAAAAUGAGGAUGUGAUUUUUUUUUCCUCAUUCAGGUUCACAGACCAUCUGAAUUCUUUCUUUCCACAGGUUUCCAGGCAUCCUUAGACUUUCAUAUUAAGAAAUUCUUUUCUAAUGCUAACAUAAUUUAGACUCUCAUAAUUUUUUCAUACUUGAAAAAUAGUCUUAAAUAUAUGAAUAGAUGAAAUUAUUUUUUCCUCUGUCCUUAAACAGUGAUGAAAUGAAUCACUUUUCCUCUCAUUAUAUUCAACUUCCAGUGAUUGAUUUGUAGAUUACAGUAUCAGUUUUAAGUGUCCUUAUCUUGAUACAUUUAGAUUAUGAAAAGAAGAAAAGGCUAGGAGAAAAUUUUGUUUUCAGUCUGAAUUGCCUUAGGUAGGUUAUGAAUAUGGGAAAUAAGAGAUGUGGCAUUUGCUUGCACACAAUGCCUUCUUUCUGGUUUCUUGGUGCUCACUAGCACUAUAUUGGGUGAAUGAGAAAUUCCCAAAGAGUUGUAGUUAUGGCCUCUAUAAUUCCUAGUGGCAUUAAACAUUUCAACACAACAGAAUUUGAAAAUAAUACAUCAGUUAUAAUUUGCCUACCUGAAACCAUUGAACUUUGUCAAGUAGAAAAAUACCAUAUGUUCAAACAACUGACUCUACUGAAGCUGCAACUUUAGAGACAAACAGAAGGAAACGCAAGUCUGGGGGGCAUAAGGUAAACCUUGGCAAAGUGACUUUUUUCUAGGAUGAGAGCCUGGUAGACAUUUAGAUUGUUUUAUAACUAGGAUUCUCUGCAGGAUGUGGGAUAAAAAGAAUUUUACUGCCUGUCCAAUGAAUCGAACCGGUUUUUUAUUCAUACAUUUUUGAGGUUCACUUGAACUUGACUUUGUCCUCAAACUCCCGUGGCCACUCUGGCUUCCUGUUAUUAUCGGCCAAUGAGUCCAAAAUGUAUCAUUUUCUUCCUUGAUUCCCAGAUGGUCUGUAUAUGCUGUUCACUCUUAUACUGCAUGUUGGGCUUGCUCUGUCAAUCAAAGAUAGACUAUUUCUUCCUAAAGCAGCCUGCUUGGGUGGUCAGUUGGCCUCCGGGUUCCAAUGAAUAAAGUAGCGCUCAACUCUAGGAGUGGCUGGUAUCUUCUGCAUUCGUGAGAGAUCAGAGGAGAUUAACAGAGACUUCCUGCCUGUGUCUCCUGGUGAGUAAGCAUAUUCUAAGAAGGCAGAAGUAGACUCAUUUUUCAUGAGAGAAACCUGGAAGUCCUAGACAUAGCGACCUGGCAUCCUGGUGAACUUCUCCAAUCCUUUGGUCAAUUUUCCCACAGAAAAGGACAAAAGAAACACUGGUUAUCCAUUAAGUCUAGAUUUUGGGCCACACGCAAGGGAUUAUAAGGUAUACUCUUUAUAUCUUGAUGUAGUAGUGCUGCAUCACCAAUACAUUUCAUGUAGUAAACUCAACUCUGAAUGCAGUCCAAAAUGUAAACAGAGAGAGGGGGAGCAAAAGGACAAGAAAAUGCAGGUAAUUCCAGUGCCAUUCUACUCAGUGAGCUUGAGAUGGGAGACCAAUCUCUUCAACCUCA